AGAAUCAACGCUGGCGGCGUGCCUAACACAUGCAAGUCGCACGAGAAAGGGACUUCGGUCCUGAGUACAGUGGCGCACGGGUGAGUAACACGUGAAUAAUCUACCUCCGAGUGGGGAAUAACUGAGAGAAAUCUUAGCUAAUACCGCAUAACACUUACGAGUCAAAGCAGCAAUGCGCUUGGAGAGGAGUUCGCGGCAGAUUAGUUAGUUGGCGGGGUAAUGGCCCACCAAGACGAUGAUCUGUAUCCGGCCUGAGAGGGCGCACGGACACACUGGAACUGAAACACGGUCCAGACUCCUACGGGAGGCAGCAGUGGGGAAUUUUGCGCAAUGGGGGAAACCCUGACGCAGCAACGCCGCGUGGAGGAUGAAAUAUCUUGGUAUGUAAACUCCUUUCGAUGGGGAAGAUAAUGACGGUACCCAUAGAAGAAGCCCCGGCUAACUUCGCGCCAGCAGCCGC
rnacentral:rRNA from 1 species